AGGGGCUGCGUGGACCCAGGCUCCCCGCGCGCCCUGCUCGGGUCCUGAGCUGGGCUUAUCCGUGUGGGCGGGAACAUCCUCGGCAGUGGAAAGGUGUGGGGCUCUCCUCGAGCGCGGUGCUUGCUCUCUGCCUCCUUUCCCCUUUUCAGGGGUAGGAUUAAGCCACAUCUGUGUGUCUGUCUUUCUGCGGAGUCUGCAACCUCUGACCGACCGCUCUAUUUCUGCCUCCUGUUGCAGAAUUUCUAGACCAGACUUUGGGCAAAUAAAAAACAGGAGUGACGUCAGAAACAUGGCAGAGUGAGAGAUGUCUCCAUAUCUCUCCCCUUGAAACAACAAGCUGAACAUCUAAAACUCAAGAAAAAACACCCAACCUGCACACCAGCAUGUCUGAGCGUGGGAUCUGCACAUAAGAGCUACCACAGGAAAAAAUACAUGUCGGAGAACCUUGAAAAAGGGAUAAUGGUCUUGCAAGGCUUUUGGGACUCGGCCUCUAAAGCUUUUUUCACAGCUGAUGUCCUCUGUGAUUUUUCUCCAUCCAUCUUAUAGGAUAACCCUAUCUCUCAACCACUGUAAAAUAAAUACAAAUAUGUAAAACUAAAUUAAUGUAUGCAUAUGGACAAGGACUGAGUUGAGGAGGCCGUAGCAGUAUACAAAAAGGUUGAUUUGUUGGGAUUUUGAGGCUAUUAGUAAAUUAUCAUGUUUUUCUUAAUGCUAUUGUUGUAAGUGUAACAAACACAAUGUAAAACUAACUUGUUAAAAAUAUAAUAAUAAAAUUAAAUUAAAAACGGA